rnacentral:misc_RNA from 1 species
UACGUAGGGUGCUAUCGUUAAUCGGAAUUGCUGGGCGUAAAGCGCAUGCAGGCGGCGUGUUAAGCCAGAUGUGAAAGCCCGGGGCUCAACCUCGGAAUCGCAUUUGGAACUGGCAGGCUAGAGUCUUGUAGAGGGGGGUAGAAUUCCAGGUGUAGCGGUGAAAUGCGUAGAGAUCUGGAGGAAUACCGGUGGCGAAGGCGGCCCCCUGGACAAAGACUGACGCUCAGGUGCGAAAGCGUGAGGAGCAAACAGG